rnacentral:misc_RNA from 1 species
AACGCACAUUGCGCCUCCUGGUAUCCCGGGAGGCAUGCCUGUUCGAGCGUCAGCAAGGAAACAUCAAGCUGGUUUUGGCUUGGUCUUGGAGCGCGAGUGCCGCUGGCCCUCCGCUCCGAAAUCCAAUGGCGGAAAGUCUCGGUUGCCCCGGCGUAGUAGGAAUAUCUUUCGCUUGGACUCCGAUGCGUUCCUGCCCCCCAAAUCCCCUUCAUUCACCAUUGACCUCGGAUCAGGUAGGGAUACCCGCUGAACUUAA